rnacentral:lncRNA from 1 species
ACGGACAGAGUUUCCCCUAUCCGCCCAAGGCUCAUCACAUGUACAAAUUCAAACAAGAAAUGCACUAGCGGAAACAUACAUAAACGGCUUACACGAGGGUAAGCAAUAGCCAUUAGUGAAAGAACGAAAAAUUAAACAUCUACACAAGUAAUAUGAUUCAUUUUAGAUCAUAUACAUUGCAUCCAUUCCUUAUAUUUAGUAUUCUUUGCAUUUCAUUACAUCAUUUCAUCAUCUCUUUCUUACAUCACAUUUACCUCAAAAUACACAUCACAUUCUUUUCUUUACAUUACUAAUCAUCAUGUACAAAAGAUGAACAUAAGGUACUUUACUACAGAAUGAAACCCGACUUUGGUGGCCUCUGACUAAGGCGCGAUACCUUUACCUCGGUCACUCGCCGGCUCGCUCGGUCCCGGCUCUGUGGAAAUAGUGGGGUGAGAACUACAACAAAGUUCCCAGUGGGUUCGGCCUCAACAUCACCGACUUUCCCACUAGGACUAACUCAGGCAUAAUAGAAAGAAUAAGCUGUAUAGUAACCAAUCUAUAACAUGAUGCUAAUAUGCCUGAACAAUAAGCAAGAAGUAUGCUCAACAUUAAAUAAAUGCAGAUUAUGCAAACUCAUUCGUUCUUUGACUUUACUUUGUACUUUGUUCUUUAUUCUUUGCUCUUUGUUCUUUGUUCUUUAAUCUCAAGGCUAACCCGGAGGUUUCGCCACAUUAACUUGCUUCACAUUAAGUCCAUCAUCGCAGGAACUCACCAGCUAGGACCGUCCUUCGGGUUUACUCCAACCCGUGAUGCAUAACUCCGGAGCGCAUCGCCCGAGGGGGAGCGACCGCCCUCGAGCACGGAACUCAUAGCAAGUAUGAUCAUAUCCUUAACUCAAAGGAUUUAUAAGUUCAAUCUUGACUUUACACUAGCUCUAGUGUUCUUUACAUCACUUUAUGUUGCAAACUCAUGCAAUUACAUUCUUUACAUUUCUUUACUCUUGCUAACUCUAGCAUUCUUGUUCGUUACAAUACUUGUUCUUAUUGCCCCACUUUACUUUACUUUACACAUUGUCAUUUUCAUCAUUCUUUUCAUCACUUUGGUUCUUUGCAUCACACUAACUCUAGUGUCUCUUUACUUUACAUUUUCAAAUGCCACUCGAUCUAUGUCAUAGUGUCACUCUGUUCUUUUGCUCACUUUGGGUGCUCACUUUUCUCUAAUGCAUACACUUAGGGUUUUGACAUUUAUUUGGUUCUCUACCAUCAUUAUAAGCAAGUUGUACUCACAAUCAUGCUAUCAUCACAUUCUUAUCAUUACUUUACCCUAAUAUGCAUGCAACAAUAUAUAUUACACAUGCUCAAAUGAAUGACACAUUAGGCAUAGAGAGAAGUUCAAUGAGUUUGAGAAGCACCACCCACCUCGUAGGCUUUCAAAGGUGCUCCGAUGAUUUUCUUGGGAUUUUUAGAU